rnacentral:rRNA from 1 species
GUUGAACGCUGGCGGCAUGCCUUACACAUGCAAGUCGAACGGUAACAGGUCUUCGGAUGCUGACGAGUGGCGAACGGGUGAGUAAUACAUCGGAACGUGCCUAGGAGUGGGGGAUAACUACUCGAAAGAGUGGCUAAUACCGCAUGAGAUCUACGGAUGAAAGCAGGGGAUCGCAAGACCUUGUGCUACUAGAGCGGCCGAUGGCAGAUUAGGUAGUUGGUGGGAUAAAAGCUUACCAAGCCGACGAUCUGUAGCUGGUCUGAGAGGACGAUCAGCCACACUGGGACUGAGACACGGCCCAGACUCCUACGGGAGGCAGCAGUGGGGAAUUUUGGACAAUGGGCGCAAGCCUGAUCCAGCAAUGCCGCGUGCAGGAUGAAGGCCUUCGGGUUGUAAACUGCUUUUGUACGGAACGAAAAGCCCUGGGUUAAUACCCUGGGGUCAUGACGGUACCGUAAGAAUAAGCACCGGCUAACUACGUGCCAGCCGCCGCUGUAACAC